GGUCUUGUGGUCUAGUGGUAUGAUUCUCGCUUAGGGUGCGAGAGGUCCCGCGUUCGAGUCGCGGCAAGACCC
rnacentral:tRNA from 4 species